rnacentral:rRNA from 1 species
GAUGAACGCUGGCGGCGUGCUUAACACAUGCAAGUCGAACGAUGAUCCGGGUGCUUGCACUCGGGGAUUAGUGGCGAACGGGUGAGUAACACGUGAGCAACCUGCCUCUGACUCUGGGAUAAGCGCUGGAAACGGCGUCUAAUACUGGCUAUGUCCCGUCACCGCAUGGUGUGCGGGUGGAAAGAUUUUUCGGUUGGGGAUGGGCUCGCGGCCUAUCAGCUUGUUGGUGAGGUAAUGGCUCACCAAGGCGUCGACGGGUAGCCGGCCUGAGAGGGUGACCGGCCACACUGGGACUGAGACACGGCCCAGACUCCUACGGGAGGCAGCAGUGGGGAAUAUUGCACAAUGGGCGGAAGCCUGAUGCAGCAACGCCGCGUGAGGGAUGACGGCCUUCGGGUUGUAAACCUCUUUUAGCAGGGAAGAAGCGAGAGUGACGGUACCUGCAGAAAAAGCACCGGCUAACUACGUGCCAGCCGCCGCGGUAAAAC